UCUUUGAACAUGGGAGUGAAAGUGACGUGGAAGCUUAAUUUCUAAGCACUAAAAGGGUGACGUGGACAUGGGUUCAGCUGCAAACGCGACCUGCACAAAUUAGUUCAGACAUCAUCCCAAUUAGUUCGACUCGAUCUGCACAUAUUAGAAUUGACCAAUAAAAUCAAGCAAACUCGAAUUAUUUUUAAUAAUGCCAUGAUGAAGGGGAACACAUUUUCUUAUGUUGAAUUCACUAAAUAUAUGAAUUAAAAUAAUGAUAAGUGCUAUGAAUAAGAUAUUAAUUUAUGCAUUAUUUAGCACUUAUC
rnacentral:lncRNA from 1 species